rnacentral:tRNA from 1 species
UGGUCCCGUUGGUAGAACAUGGUGUUUGCAACGCCAGGGUUGUGGGUUCGAUUCCCAC